AUUGAACGCUGGCGGCAGGCCUAACACAUGCAAGUCGAGCGGCAGCGGAAAGUAGCUUGCUACUUUGCCGGCGAGCGGCGGACGGGUGAGUAAUGUCUGGGAAACUGCCUGAUGGAGGGGGAUAACUACUGGAAACGGUAGCUAAUACCGCAUAACGUCGCAAGACCAAAGAGGGGGACCUUCGGGCCUCUUGCCAUCAGAUGUGCCCAGAUGGGAUUAGCUAGUAGGUGGGGUAACGGCUCACCUAGGCGACGAUCCCUAGCUGGUCUGAGAGGAUGACCAGCCACACUGGAACUGAGACACGGUCCAGACUCCUACGGGAGGCAGCAGUGGGGAAUAUUGCACAAAGGGCGCAAGCCUGAUGCAGCCAUGCCGCGUGUAUGAAGAAGGCCUUCGGGUUGUAAAGUACUUUCAGCGGGGAGGAAGGUGUUGAGGUUAAUAACCUCAGCAAUUGACGUUACCCGCAGAAGAAGCACCGGCUAACUCCGUG
rnacentral:rRNA from 1 species